rnacentral:rRNA from 1 species
GUAGGUGGCAAGCGUUGUCCGGAAUUAUUGGGCGUAAAGCGCGCGCAGGUGGUUCUUUAAGUCUGAUGUGAAAGCCCACGGCUCAACCGGGGAGGGUCAUUGGAAACUGGGGAACUUGAGUGCAGGAGAGGAAAGUGGAAUUCCACGUGUAGCGGUGAAAUGCGUAGAUAUGUGGAGGAACACCAGUGGCGAAGGCGACUUUCUGGCCUGUAACUGACACUGAGGCGCGAAAGCGUGGGGAGCAAACAGGGAUUAGAUACCCUGGUAGUCCACGCCGUAAACGAUGAGUGCUAAGUGUUGGGGGGGUUUCCGCCCCCUCAGUGCUGCAGCUAACGCAUUAAGCACUCCGCCUGGGAUACGGUCGCAAGACUG